AGCGGCAAGAGCUCAAAUUUGAAAGCUGGCUCCGUCCGGGGUCCGCAUUGUAAUUUGGAGAGGAUGCUUCGGGUGCGGCCCCCGUCUAAGUGCUCUGGAACGGGCCGUCGGAGAGGGUGAGAAUCCCGUCUGGGGCGGGGAGCCCCGCGCCCAUGUGAAGCUCCUUCAACGAGUCGAGUUGUUUGGGAAUGCAGCUCUAAAUGGGUGGUAAAUUUCAUCUAAAGCUAAAUACAGGCCGGAGACCGAUAGCGCACAAGUAGAGUGAUCGAAAGAUGAAAAGCACUUUGAAAAGAGAGUUAAACAGCACGUGAAAUUGUUUAAAGGGAAGGGCUUGAGAUCAGACUUGGUAUUUUUCAUGCUGCCUCUGGGGGGCGGCCGUUGCGGUCUACCGGGCCAGCAUCGGUUUGGAGGGGCGGUCUAAGGCCGCAGGAAUGUAGCGCCCCCUGGGGCGUGUGAUAGCCGGGGGUACCAUGCGGCCAGCCCGGACCGAGGAAC
rnacentral:misc_RNA from 1 species